rnacentral:tmRNA from 3 species
GGGGCUGAUUCUGGAUUCGACGGAAUUUGCGAAACCCAAGGUGCAUGCCGAGGGGCGGUUGGCCUCGUAAAAAGCCGCAAAAAAAUAGUCGCAAACGACGAAACCUACGCUUUAGCAGCUUAAUAACCUGCUUAGAGCCCUCUCUCCCUAGCCUCCGCUCUUAGGACGGGGAUCAAGAGAGGUCAAACCCAAAAGAGAUCGCGCGGAUGCCCUGCCUGGGGUUGAAGCGUUAAAACGAAUCAGGCUAGUCUGGUAGUGGCGUGUCCGUCCGCAGGUGCCAGGCGAAUGUAAAGACUGACUAAGCAUGUAGUACCGAGGAUGUAGGAAUUUCGGACGCGGGUUCAACUCCCGCCAGCUCCACCA